GAUGAACGCUGGCGGCGUGCCUAAUACAUGCAAGUCGAGCGAACGGACGAGAAGCUUGCUUCUCUGAUGUUAGCGGCGGACGGGUGAGUAACACGUGGAUAACCUACCUAUAAGACUGGGAUAACUUCGGGAAACCGUAGCUAAUACCGGAUAAUAUUUUGAACCGCAUGGUUCAAAAGUGAAAGACGGUCUUGCUGUCACUUAUAGAUGGAUCCGCGCUGCAUUAGCUAGUUGGUAAGGUAACGGCUUACCAAGGCAACGAUGCAUAGCCGACCUGAGAGGGUGAUCGGCAGAAUGAGAACUGGAACGAGGUCCAGACGCCUACGGGAGGCAGCAGUAGGGAAUCUUCCGCAAUAGGCGAAAGCCUGACGGAACAACGCCGCGUGAGUGAUGAAAGUGUUCGGAUCGUAAAACUCUGUUAUUAGGGAUAAACAUAUGUCUAAGUAACUGAGCACAUAUUGACGGUACCUAAUCAGAAAGCCACGGCUAACUACGUG
rnacentral:rRNA from 1 species